GUCCGCAGUUCAGCUCUUUCCUUGGGAUCCAGGAGGACAGGAGGACAUAGUUGCAGUUCAAAUUUAUAUUUUAGUUCCACAAUUAUUUUGUAUUUUCGUCUUAAAUAAUAAAGGUAAGCCGAGAUGUAAAAGGCUUAACCUUAAGUCGUGUCAGGUAAGUCUAUGGCAGCUCGAGGACGAGCUGGUCCUCAAGGGAGGGGGAGAUGUCAUGGGCAUAAUAGGGAGCGAGAGGCAACGGCCAGGCUGGGAUAAGGCUAGAGAAUAAGAUUGAGAUGAACUGGGAUAAGGUUAGAGAAUAAGAUUGAAAUGGGAGAAUUGUGGAGAGUUGGUUAGCAUCAGAUAAGUCCAAGAAAGUAGGAGUUAGUUGAGAGUUUGUAGGAGAAGUUGGUUAGCCAUAGGGCUAUUUAUAAGCCGCAUGGCAGCAGGGAAUAAAUCAAGCAAGAUCAUUAACAAACCAAUCUCUCUCCCUUGCAAUGACCCUCUCAAGCGCCUAGGGCUGCUACCCUAGAACCAAGCCUGCGGCAGAGGGGUAUAACCUCGCCGGAGAAGACAACUAUCCCCAUGGACCGAAGGUCCAUGACAUUCCACAACUUAGACAUCCAAACUAAAAUUCAUUACUACAGCCUUACAACUAACUAGAUUGGCCUAGGUGCCAUUAACGAUCAUGUGCACUGUAAAGAUCACCAUCGUUAGGAGACUCCUAAUCUAUGAGUAGACAAUCAUUAGGGUCUUCAUGCCUUUCGUCGUCCGAAGGAGAGGAGGCAAAGUAGCAAUAUGACAGUCUGUUGCUGAAUUAGCUAGAUCAGUGACUAGUUCUUGGAUAGUUAGCAAAGCAAUGUUCAUUUCCUACACUUCUGUAAGAGACAUAGGGCUACAAGUAGCUUGGCACAUAUCGCAAACCUUGGAACUUGUAUCCUCAACCAUGGAAGUUAAGACAGCAAUGGCCUUUUUGAGCUUCUCAAUCUCAAAUUCCAUGAUCUAAACAAGUCAAAAGAAAUUACAAUUACACAGAAGUUGUUGCAGUAAAUGUAGACAAUCAGGUUAUGACAUAGUUAGCUAAUUAGACUUAAAAUAUGGUAAGUGUAAUGUUUAGUACUGCCAAACAGAGUGCAAGUAUGUAUGUGACCAACAUAGGUGGACAUUUUUACAGAAUAAGUGGAAUCAUACCAUCUUCUUGCAUAUACACAGGUCAUUUCACAAAACAACAAUAAAAUAUAAGGACAGCCUUGUUACCUUGAACCUCUUCCUGAUUUGGGAGACCGAGCCCCAACAAACUAUGACAACUUUGAAUUCACACAUAAACACAUGAAGUAAACACCAAUUGCUGGAAAAUCAUUUAACACAUAACACAUGAACUAAAGACCAAUUGUAGAAUAAUCCAUUCAUGUUAAUCAAUGUUCAAAAAAGCGCGCUUAAGCGUCCACUUAGUCAUGAUUAGAUGCUAAGUGGU
rnacentral:lncRNA from 1 species